CUAAUUGGUCCUCAAACUUUGAAGAGCAAAUAUUUUGGUACUGAAAUUUUAAUUUAUUAAACUUUUUAGUUUGAAUUUUUAAAAUUAUUACAAUUAAUCAAGUGCCACAGCAUAACUUAGUUUACUAAAUGUUGGUACAUUACGGAUGUGUAAUGAUGUGACAUUUCAAUUAUUGUGAUGACAUUAAUUAUAGUAUUAGUACAUCAUGUCAUAUUAGCGACAAAUCAGCAUGUAAUUAACUAAUAAAUUAUAUGUGUUGUGAAACUUAUUACAAUAAUUUUAAAAAUUGAAGCCAAAUUUGGGGACUAAAUU
rnacentral:lncRNA from 1 species